rnacentral:rRNA from 1 species
AUGAACGCUAGCUACAGGCUUAACACAUGCAAGACGAGGGGCAGCAUGGUCUUAGCUUGCUAAGGCCGAUGGCGACCGGCGCACGGGUGAGUAACACGUAUCCAACCUGCCGUCUACUCUUGGACAGCCUUCUGAAAGGAAGAUUAAUACAAGAUGGCAUCAUGAGUCCGCAUGUUCACAUGAUUAAAGGUAUUCCGGUAGACGAUGGGGAUGCGUUCCAUUAGAUAGUAGGCGGGGUAACGGCCCACCUAGUCUUCGAUGGAUAGGGGUUCUGAGAGGAAGGUCCCCCACAUUGGAACUGAGACACGGUCCAAACUCCUACGGGAGGCAGCAGUGAGGAAUAUUGGUCAAUGGGCGAGAGCCUGAACCAGCCAAGUAGCGUGAAGGAUGACUGCCCUAUGGGUUGUAAACUUCUUUUAUAAAGGAAUAAAGUCGGGUAUGCAUACCCGUUUGCAUGUACUUUAUGAAUAAGGAUCGGCUAACUCCGUGCCAGCAGCCGCGGUAAUACGGAGGAUCCGAGCGUUAUCCGGAUUUAUUGGGUUUAAAGGGAGCGUAGAUGGAUGUUUAAGUCAGUUGUGAAAGUUUGCGGCUCAACCGUAAAAUUGCAGUUGAUACUGGAUAUCUUGAGUGCAGUUGAGGCAGGCGGAAUUCGUGGUGUAGCGGUGAAAUGCUUAGAUAUCACGAAGAACUCCGAUUGCGAAGGCAGCCUGCUAAGCUGCAACUGACAUUGAGGCUCGAAAGUGUGGGUAUCAAACAGGAUUAGAUACCCUGGUAGUCCACACGGUAAACGAUGAAUACUCGCUGUUUGCGAUAUACAGCAAGCGGCCAAGCGAAAGCGUUAAGUAUUCCACCUGGGGAGUACGCCGGCAACGGUGAAACUCAAAGGAAUUGACGGGGGCCCGCACAAGCGGAGGAACAUGUGGUUUAAUUCGAUGAUACGCGAGGAACCUUACCCGGGCUUAAAUUGCAGAUGAAUUACGGUGAAAGCCGUAAGCCGCAAGGCAUCUGUGAAGGUGCUGCAUGGUUGUCGUCAGCUCGUGCCGUGAGGUGUCGGCUUAAGUGCCAUAACGAGCGCAACCCUUGUUGUCAGUUACUAACAGGUUCCGCUGAGGACUCUGACAAGACUGCCAUCGUAAGAUGUGAGGAAGGUGGGGAUGACGUCAAAUCAGCACGGCCCUUACGUCCGGGGCUACACACGUGUUACAAUGGGGGGUACAGAGGGCCGCUACCACGCGAGUGGAUGCCAAUCCCAAAAACCUCUCUCAGUUCGGACUGGAGUCUGCAACCCGACUCCACGAAGCUGGAUUCGCUAGUAAUCGCGCAUCAGCCACGGCGCGGUGAAUACGUUCCCGGGCCUUGUACACACCGCCCGUCAAGCCAUGGGAGCCGGGGGUACCUGAAGUGCGUAACCGCGAGGAGCGCCCUAGGGUAAAACUGGUGACUGGGGCU